rnacentral:rRNA from 1 species
AGAGUUUGAUCAUGGCUCAGGACGAACGCUGGCGGCGUGCCUAACACAUGCAAGUCGAACGGGAUCCAUGCCAUGAAGUUUUCGGAUGGAUUGGUGUGGUGAGAGUGGCGAACGGGCGAGUAACGCGUGAGCAACCUACCUCGUACUGGGGGAUAACGUCGGGAAACCGGCGCUAAUACCGCAUAAGACUACGAUGUCGCAUGGCGUUGUAGUCAAAGCUCCGGCGGUACGAGACGGGCUCGCGUCCGAUUAGCUAGUUGGUAGGGUAACGGCCUACCAAGGCGACGAUCGGUAGCCGGACUGAGAGGUCGGCCGGCCGCAUUGGGACUGAGACACGGCCCAGACUCCUACGGGAGGCAGCAGUGGGGAAUAUUGCGCAAUGGGGGAAACCCUGACGCAGCGACGCCGCGUGAAGGAAGAAGGCCUUCGGGUUGUAAACUUCUUUGGCAGGGGACGAAGAAAGACGGUACCCUGAGAACAAGCCACGGCUAACUACGUGCCAGCAGCCGCGGUAAUACGUAGGUGGCGAGCGUUGUCCGGAAUUACUGGGCGUAAAGGGCGUGUAGGCGGGGGGACAAGUCAGAUGUGAAAUACCGCAGCUUAACUGCGGGGCUGCAUCUGAAACUGUUCUUCUUGAGUGUCGGAGAGGAAAGUGGAAUUCCCAGUGUAGCGGUGAAAUGCGUAGAGAUUGGGAGGAACACCAGUGGCGAAGGCGGCUUUCUGGACGACAACUGACGCUGAGGCGCGAAAGCGUGGGGAG